UCUUCGAUUUAUCACACUUAUUUAACAUAAUUGUUUUAAUUUAUUUCCUGAUUCUUUGUUGGAUAAUACUAUUUGCAGAUUCCGUGAUUCAUGGGUUUACUCCCGUCGGACAUGCUAAUCAUUACAUGCCAUCUUUGAAAGCAGAUUCCAUUGUGAAAGUCGAUCGUUUUGAAGUUUCUAGGUGCUCCAAGUGAUUGCGAACACAAACCUAGAAAUUGGUAAACAUAGCAUAUUUGGCAGCUCCAAGCAACAUUACAAUCAGGCAAAUUCAAGUGGAAUGACAUACCAACAACUGAAACUGGUAAUUAGUCAACAACUUAUCCCAUAUUUUCCUUAUCUGAAAAAAUCUACUGUGUUUCUGAUCUAUUUUUUCAUCUACGCAACUUUAGCCUCUGUCAUGGAUAGCUCUCUCCCAAGAAUUGCAUUGACUAUGGUUUCUGGGAAGAAAAAGAUCUUGCUCCUGAAAAAAGACCGUGACAACCCUGUUGUAAGAUUUUAGUUUGUGCAGAAUAAAAAACCUUGAUUUAUUUUCUAUUUAGUAUAGUGAUAGUUGUUGACAAUCAUUAGUUAUUUGGCAAUAUGUUUUUUAUGCGGCAUUUCAGAACUCUCCAUUCCAAGCGGAACAGCAGAUGAAAGCUAAUUUUUCUGGAAGCUCAUCGACUUCAAGACAGAAUCAGAAGAUAGAUGUUGGUGGGAGGUUAAUCAAGGGAAUACUUCAGAGAAGUGAGACGGCCUAGCCAGACUUCAUCUUUUGUACAGCCUGAGCAAAGAGUGGAACCCACAAAACACGAGAGAAGAAAAAACAAAACACGAAAUUAACAAAUUCAGAUCUUCUCUCUUGCAUGUCUAACAUCUGGCGCCGACGAAACUCAACACCCACGGCAGACGAAGCUGAUGCAAGUAAACCUCUCAUCAAUCAUGCUUAAAAUCAAUCUACGCUUUUCAAUCUCACAAACUAAGAAACAAUUUUACCUACAUGAAUCGGGAAAUUAGUGCCCACAUUCCCGAUAUAGAGAAAAAAAGGAGUUGAAAUCCUAACAGUUUUUUCAGUAUUAGACUAAACCACAGAUUCAAGGUCCAGUUAUUUUGAAACCCUAGCAUUUUAAAUCUAAAUUUAUUAUCUUUUUCCAUGCACUAUUUGAUUUAUAUACAAACAACUACCUAAGUAAACACUAACAAGUUCCAUCACCCUCAACUUUGAACAUAUAAGAUAUAAAAAUAUCAACAUAUGACUUCAUCGUUCAUUCUUAUAUCAAACUCAUCAACUUAUGUAAUAUCCAAAGUCCCAUCAAUCACAUUAUAGAUAAAAAACAAUAAAAUCCCGUAAACAAAACUAUACAAUACACCUAUAAUGUAGCCGACCCCGCGCUUGCGCGGGGACUAUGCACCUAGUAAUAACAAUACUUAAAGGGAGAUAUGCUCAAAGGAGAUACGUGCCACGUCCUAAAAAAAAUCAACCAAUUAGAUGCCCCUAUUUUGCCACGUUACAUCCUCUUUAUCGACAUGGGCCAAGUGUUUUGAUCUUCUAAAAUUUGGAGGUGGCCCGUUUGAGACCCAUGUUACACUUUUCGACGAAACCCACGCUUUCCUUCUUCAGUCAAUAGUCUCUUACUAUUCCUCUCCAUAGCCAUUGUUCCAUUUUCUCCAAAUCUCCAUUACUUUGCAGUAGCUAUCCACUCUAAAAUCAUUGAUUCUGCUCUUUACACAUUCUUACAAGAUGUAUCAUUUCACCUCCUUUUGUUUUCCUCAUGUAUGAUCUAUUUCUCGAUUCUUAUAUAUACCGCAAUCUACGACUUAUUCAGUCGAAGAUCAAGCUAUGUCCAUGAGAUCUGCUAAGCUGUGUAUUUAACCAACAUCUCCGCGGGUACAGCGGAAUCAGAACUAGGCUUCCGGUUAAUCCGUUUCUGGGAGACGAUAAGCACAAACAGCUAAAGGUGGUUUGCUUAUAGGCUUGGAGCUUCUCCUUACAGGCAAGCAGGUAUCAGAUUCUUUACUUCUUCUUCUAUUGAUCCAAAUCAAUCUAGGUCACAACUUCUUGAUUUCUUGAUUACUUCUUAAUCUUCUUCGCAGAAAUGGCUACGCGCAACUUGAAACCUACCGCAUCAAUACCACAACGAGUUUACUUCGAGGCUUUUUGGUUUUCAAAUCCACCGGAUUGGUCAUCAGACUCUACCUUCUUCUCAUUGAUGAAAAUUUAUUGGUUCAUAUUUUUCUCCUGUUCUUAGUGGUUUGUAAAUUUGUCGUUUCAUCGCUCUAAUGUCACAAAGAAACUAUUCGAAUUUACAUUUCUUGCCACUACUCACAGGUUUCGCAGCAGCAACAGUUGUCUUCUUUUUCAAAAAAAAAACAGCUGUGAUCAAGUCAAUUUUUUCAGGCAUCCAGAUGAUUAUUAACAAAAAAAUUUGUUUGAGCUGGAAUCUGAAGUUCGUGUCCUGGAAAGCCUCUGGCAGCUGCUGAAACUGGGGUGAAACUCUGAACACCUGAAGAGGGCGAUUUAUGUAAGCGAUGCAACUGCAAAAAGUCGCAUUUGAAUCUGUUUGUUGCUGAGUUUAUUGCAUAUAUCAUCCAUUUUCAUGUGUGGAUUCUUUCAACAAACCAUCAUUAAGACGCUGUCUUGGCUACCCGCAGACAGAUUGAGAAUUCAGAGAUCAUGUGGAGAGAUCCCAGAGCUUUUUACACUGAUUUCUAUCAUGGCCGCUGGAACUGGAAGCACUGCUCUUUUCACUGUGAUUUGUAUCUUUGCUUCAAGGCGUGUUCCCUUUUGCACAAACAAGUUCUUCAACACUGGACUUGGUUUCAGUUUGGUCAUACUGCUUUGGGCUGUGGAUAGACUCGGGAGGUGAUUACUUAGCGCAUACUUCUUCCAUGGGUUGUGGCUUCUAAGUUGGCAACAAGAACAAGAGUAAUCUCUGAGGAAGCAAAAGCCACGACCUCUUUAUAUUCUUAUAGGAAACAUCUUUGCUCCUAUGUAAACUAUAUAUGUUUCUCCAAUGACCUGAAGAAUAUAUAAAUUGGUUUUUGUUUGUGUGAUCAGGAACAAACAAAUUUUUGGAAUAUAAAGCAUGUUACCGAAGACUUAUUCUUUUUA